rnacentral:lncRNA from 1 species
GCUGAUAAGGUUGGACAUUUCACAUUAAGCCAUAGUGGUUGAAUUUAUUACGAGGAUGAUUAUCCAGUUAUUGUACUUUAAUUCUUUACCUCGAAAUGUCAUUUUUUCAUGCAUAUAUAAAUGCUCGUAUACUUGUAUUCAUUAGAAAAUGUAUAUUUUUCUACCUGUACGUGCGCUCUUUGGUGAUCCAAAAUUAUCCAUUAUAUUAAAAGAGC